GCCAUGGUGGUUUCUUGAGCUUCUCCGGAGUCCUGAAAUCCUAGCUAGCUAGGCAGUUAGCACCGCGCUAGCUACGACCUCUUCACUGAGUGUAGGUCGGAGCCAGUCAGUGAAAACGGCGGCACGCAUCGAUGGAUAACGGCGGCUACGGCUGAUCUUCUCUCUGAAAUCCGCAAUGGCGGCGGAAACGGCUCAGUGCGUUCCCUCUCCGGAAGCAUCCAGGGAGCUCUGGAAGGACACUGGCUCUUCCCUGAAUGAGCAGGCUCUGCUUUAGAAAAUUUAACUAGUUUUAUUCCUGGCCGUCUUUUACUCAAUAAACCUCUGUUGUGGUA